rnacentral:lncRNA from 1 species
AUGGGAACCAGGGCUCUCUCUAUCCGUGGGAACCAGGGCUAUCUCUAUCCGUGGGAACCAGGGCUAUCUCUAUCAGUGGGAACCAGGGCUAUCGGUAUCUGUGGGAACCAGGCUAUCGCUAUCCGUGGAACCAGGGUCGGUAUCUGUGGGAACCAGGGCUAUCGCUAUCCGUGGGAACCAGGGCUAUCGGUAUCUGUGGACCAGGGCUAUCGCUAUCCGUGGAACCAGGCUAUCUCUUCCGUGGGGCCAGGGCUAUCUGUAUCUGUGGGAACCAGGGCUAUCGCUUCCGUGGGAACCAGGGCUAUCGGUAUCCGUGGGAUCCAGGGCUAUCGCUAUCCGUGGAACCAGGGCUAUCGGCAUCCGUGGAACCAGGCUCUCUCUAUCGUGGGAACCAGGGCUCUUCGGUAUCUGUGGGAACCAGGGCUAUCGUAUCCGUGGGGAACCGGGCUAUCGGUAUCCGUGGGAACCAGGGCUUGCUAUCAUGGGAACCAGGGCUGUCGCUAUCGGUCGGAAUCGGGGCUGUGUCCAUGGGAACAAGGGCUCUCUCUAUCUGUGGGAACCAGGGCUCUCUCUAUCCGUGGGAACCAGGGCUCUCUCUAUCCGUGGGAACCAGGGUUCUCUCUAUCCGUGGGAACCAGGGCUACCGCUAUCUGUGGGAAUCAGGCUGUGUCCGGGGAACCAGGUAUCUAUCCGUGGGAACCAGGGCUAUCGCUAUCCGUGGGACCAGGGCUAUCACUAUCCGUGGGAACCAGCUAUUGCUAUCCGUGGGAACCAGGCUAUCACUAUCCAUGCGAACUAGGGCUAUCGCUAUCCGUGGAACUAGGGCUGUGUCCGCGGGAAUCAGGGCUAUCGCUAUCCGUGGGAACCCGGGCUAUCACUAUCCGUGGGAACCAGGGCUAUCGCUAUCCGUGGGAACCAGGGCUAUCACUAUCAUGCGAACUAGGGCUAUCGCUAUCCGUGGGAACUAGGGCUAUCGAUAUCCGUGGGUGGGACCAGGGAUGUGUCCCGGGGAAUCAGGGCUAUCACUAUCUGUGGGAACCAGGGCUAUCGCUAUCCAUGGGAACCAGGCUGUCGCUAUCCGUGGGAACCAGGGCUAUCGCUAUCGUGGGAACCAGGGCUAUCGCUAUCUGUGGGAACGAGGGCUAUCGCUAUCGGUGGGAACCAGGGCUAUCACUAUCUGUGGGAACCAGGGCUAUCACUAUCUGUGGGAACGAGGGCUAUGCUAUCGGUGGGAACAGGGCUAUCACUAUCUGUGGGAACCAGGGCUAUCACUAUCUGUGGGAACGAGGGCUAUCGCUAUCGGUGGGAACCAGGGCUAUCGCUAUCUGUGGGAACGAGGGCUAUCGCUAUCGGUGGGAACCAGGGCUAUCGGUAUCGAUGGGAACCAGGGCUAUCGCUAUCAGUGGGAACCAGGGCUAUUGCUAUCAGUGGGAACCAGGGCUAGGCCUCAAUACAAGCCAUUUCCAUCUACAUUGUCCACAGACGUCAUAA